rnacentral:lncRNA from 1 species
GGCAGAGGAGAGGGAAGGGUCGCGCCUGGUGGGGGCCUGAGAGCCACCGGGCUGCGGUGCGCGAGUGUGGACACCGCCCCGCCUUCUGCGUCUACAGCCCUGGGUUCUGGGACCUUUGGAAACCGCUUUGGACGAAGCUGAGCAUCUCUUUCCCCACGCUGACCUCCCCCAUAGACUCCGGAUGGGAGUAAAUGAGGCUCCUGGGAAAUCCAGAAACUCUAGAGAAGCUUGUUUGCCAAACCUUGCUUUGGGCGGUGGAGACAGAAUAUCAUGUCCCAGAUCAGCGUGUGGUGACUGUGGAGGCAUUUACACACAGCACACUCCAGCUCUGCCACUGGGCCGGCUGAGGUGGCUGCGGUACACGGCGCCCAUCCUGAGCCCCAGGUUCCUCACAUGUCAACAGCAUGAAAAGUGCCUCUAAGACAUCCACAGGUGUGCAGUGUUAAAGCAGGCAGCGCCUCAGCUUGGUUAGCUCCCUUAAGGACUGCGGCUCCCUUAGGACAAGGCUCUGUCCCUCAGAGCACUGAGUGCGAUCUCAUGCUGGCAUCUUAGAGACAUUGUAUUCACCAGCCCCAUCAUCCUGAGAUAAUGAAGCCGUUCAUUCUUGGGCACAAAAGUUCGAAUGGAGGCCUUUCCCCGCCAUCCGCAUAAGACGAUGGGACACUGCAGAGCGUCUGGAUUCCUACAAGUGAAAGUGGCUUCAUGUAGAACAUUAAACAUUCCCAUAACUAAA